ACGAAGUAUGAAAAUCAAAAAUUUUUGAUUUUUGUGAUAUUUUUAUUUCUUGUCAUUUUUUUCAAAGGAAAUAGUACGAUUUGUAGUAACGUCUAUCACAAAAUCGUACUUCAACUCAUACUACGAUUAGUACGAAAAAUAGUAUCGUGUAUACCCAGCAUAACAUUUUUGCUGUGUUUUUUUUUUGCUGUUAAAUAUUGUAAAAACUGUGUGUGUGUGAAGAAGGCAGACAAAAAAUCACGAAUAAUUUUUUUUCACAAUCUAUAAUAGUGGAAGAAAAAUUAAUGAAUUUUGGCUAAAAAUCAAAGAUAUUUUUGCAAAAACUAAACGGAAUAUACAAAUUAAAAAAUGAAAAUGUAAGAAAAUCAUAAAAUAUAAAAGAAAAAUUACAGAUUAAACAGAGAAAAUGGCAAAAUAAAAGUGGUGAUGAAAAGCAAAAAAAAAAAAAAUGUCAGAAGAAAAUUAUUUAAGAAAAUUGUGUUGGUGAACAAAAAGUGAAGAAAAUUAGUAGUCGCUGCUAAAAACAUAAUAAAAAUGUUAAAUUUAUGCUUGAUGGAAAAGUUAAACAAUAUAUUGGACAACCAUUAUAAGUUUUCAAUACUAAAGAAAAUCUUUCACUCAACUGUUUAGUCCACAGCUUUAGCAGCAACAAUAAGUUAAUUCUCAAUACGUAUUAAUAUUAAAAAAACUAAAAACAGUUUUGUCAUUUAUAUAUGUAUCUGGCCUAACUUGUUAAAUAAAUUAUUAUUUUGGAUUCGCAGCAACUAAAAAUUUAACCUUAACUAAUUAAUUAUAAUUAUAACUCAAUAAUCACUAAUUAAUUAUAAACAGGAAUUGAAAAUAAUUAAACAAAAUUAUAAAAAUGGAAUGGAAAAGUUUUCAAAAAUGCUAAAGAAUUGUUUUAGAUUUUAACCUUUAAACUUUAAAGAAAAGUAUCUCACAAAAUUAAAAAUUUAAAAAAAAAACAAACAAUAUGUCGACGUCUACUACAACAAAUACCACCUGCACCUCCACCAUAAUCACCUCCGCUUCUCCCUUAGUCGGCAACAUGAAUAAAAUAUCCACUUCGACACCACAAAAAAAUGCCCCCGAUCCAGUAGCCACGGUAGAGGCUCUAGCCGAUAUAAGCGGUUUAGCUGACACGGAAACCUCUAAUGUUUUUCAUGAUGACACUAUUAAUACCAGCCUAAGUCCUCAUCAUAGUGGUGGCAGUAAAUUAAAUAAAUCCAAUUCAGCCUCUAAUAGUCCGGUGGCUAAGAGACAUAUUAAUUCGGGUUCUAUAACACGUAUACGCCCCCAGUCUAGCUAUUCGGCUAGAGUGUUAAUAUUUGAUGAUUCUGACCAGGAAUUUGGUGGCAGUGGCAGCAAUAAUAGCAAUGCCAGUGGCAGUGGUAAUAAUACUCAAGAUGUCACCACCACUACUAAAUCAUCGAUCGGUUUGGAAAUGUUGGGUUCGUCGCCUAAAAACGAUUCAUCGAUAUCGUCAUCUCAGUCGUUGUUGCGUAAUUUGAAUUUGACAAAAUCCUCGUCGGGUGGUUUAUCGGGCAGUUCGAUUUCUUUGCCCGCCAGGGGUUAUGGUGCUUUAUUGCGUAAGAUAUCCUAUCAGCAGCAUACCUAUUCCAUGAGAUCAUCAAGUAAUGACUCUUCAAAUUUGGUACGCAUGCGUAACACUUCAUUGGGAAAGUCGGCACCCUGUCUAACGGGCAGUUCGUUCCGGGAACGUGAGAAUAGUCUGUGCAAAACAUCAACUGCCCCCAAUGCACUAACGCAAUCGCCAUCGUCCACGUCAUGCAACAAUGCUUAUGCAUCAUCUUCUACAACUAACGCAAAUGUUACUGCACCAUCGGCGGGAACUUUAAAUAUUUCACGUUCCGGCAGUUGUGCCGGCCUCGGCAUUGGCAAGCAUCAUUUGCAUGGUGUAGUAAUGCGCGGUAGUGGUGGCUCCAGUGGCGUAGCUCAUCAUCGUUUAAGUUUGGUAACGGGUGGCAUAGGUGCGGCGGCAGCUGCAGCAGCGGCAGCCAAUUCUAGAUCUCAUUCACCCUAUUCGGCUAGUCCUGUUGACAGUCCACGCAUCAAUUCGCCCAUGCAGUUUGCAUUUGCACCGAUUAAACGUAUAGCUACAUGCCGUGGAGAUGGUAGAAGAUGGUCGGUAGCUUCAUUGCCAUCGUCGGGUUAUGGUACGACACCGGGUAGUUCAAAUUUAUCGAGCCAAUGUUCUAGCCAAGAAGCCUUGCAUCAAUUGCAUAAUCUUUCCGGCCAGGAGGAAUUGCAUAUUUUAACCGGAGAGCCGGGUAAUCCACAUGCCAUUGUUAAUUGUUGUGCUGAACACAUGCAACAGCAACAACAAGCCAUAGCAGCUGCUCACACAAAUCGUCCUCAUUGCAUUAAACACUGUGCUUUAAUAAAUAACACCACAACAACCGCAACAGCAACACUAACAACGAAUAAGUCUACCGUCCCGGGACAAAAUAGUCCCAAACUAUUUCAAAGACAACAACAUGUGCCAACACAACCUCAGCCACCUGCAGCACCUCCAGCCGGCUUUGUAUAUAAUCCCGCUGUAAACCACAAGGGCUGUCCCAAUUGUUGUGCUGAUGUCAGCAUGGUUUGCAGUGGCAAUGGUGCUAACAGCCAGCAGCAACAGCAAAAUAAUAACGCCGGAACACCAGGUGGUUCCCAAAGCAAUAACAAUAAUCAUAAUACAAGCAAUAGCAGUGGUAGAAUAUCCCCCUUCCACAGGCCUAGAUCAAGAUCUCUCUCAAGUCCCUCGCGCAGUCCAGCUAUAGACAAUGAAAUUGCCAUGAUGAACACUUUAUACAAAGAUCGCUUUCCCAAGGCCACUCAGCAAAUGGAGGAGCGUUUGAAGCAUUUUAUAAAUGAAAACAAAUCGGCGGCCUGCAAUAGUUUCCGUGAUUCCCAGCCCAUAGUACGAUUCGUCCAUCAUCAGGUCUUGGAAAUGGCACGAGAUUGCCUCAAUAAAUCCGAGGCCAAAUUGAUAACCUCUAGAUAUUUCUAUGAAAUGAGUGAGAACUUGGAACGUUUACUGUUGGAGACCAAGGAAAAGAGUCCCGAGGCGGCUGUAGAACUGGCGGGGGUUAUAAAAAAGCUUUUGCUAAUUAUCUCCAGACCGGCACGCUUGUUAGAGUGUUUGGAAUUUGAUCCAGAGGAAUUCUAUCAUCUGCUAGAGGCGGCCGAGGGUCAGGCCAAGGCCAUACAAGGCAUUAAGGCAGAUAUACCUCAGUAUAUUAUACAUAAAUUGGGCUUAAAUCGUGAUCCCAUAGCAGAAAUGCAACAGGAGGCUAAAGAAACUAGAGAGGCCUGUGAUACCAAGAGUGGCAUGGCCUCUGUUAAUGCAAGUCUACUCAAUGACUCGGGCACACCCUGUUCGCUUUUAUUAAGUUCCCCCUUGACCUGUGUUUCAGCUACCCUAAACCCCAAUGCUGAAUUGAGUUUAUUAGCCAACAGUGGUACAAGUACUCCACACCCUCCCAUGCCGCAACAACCGCCCCAAACACCCGUGGCAACGGCAGACAUGCCCUCAUUUGCCUCAGCCAUAAGUAAUCAAGCUAAAACACAAUUAGCCACAUGUCAAGAACAAACUGCUAUGCAAACUUGCUCAGCUCAACAGCAACAACAAUCUAAUGCUGCACAGUCUGCAGCACAGCCACCUCCUCCGCCGGCGCCCCAACCCAUACCCAAUGAACAAGAUUUCGAUAUUGUUAAAUUGAUCUCAAAUGGUGCUUACGGUGCUGUCUACUUGGUUAAACACAAAACAACACGACAACGUUUUGCCAUGAAGAAAAUCAAUAAAAAUAAUCUCAUUUUACGUAAUCAAGUCGAACAGGUUUUUGCCGAACGUGAUAUACUCUCAUUUGCCGACAAUCCCUUUGUCGUCAGCAUGUACUGUUCUUUCGAAACGAAAAAACAUUUAUGUCUGGUCAUGGAAUAUGUGGAGGGUGGUGAUUGUGCUACGCUGCUGAAAAAUAUUGGACCCCUGCCGGCUGAUAUGGCGCGUUUUUAUUUUGCCGAAACUGUAUUGGCGGUGGAAUAUCUGCACAGUUAUGGCAUAGUACAUCGUGAUUUAAAGCCCGACAAUUUGUUAAUUACCGCUUUGGGUCAUAUAAAACUAACUGAUUUCGGUCUCUCCAAAAUGGGCUUAAUGUCGCUGGCCACCAAUUUGUAUGAGGGUUAUAUAGACUCGGAAACCAGGCAAUUUUCCGAUAAACAAGUUUACGGCACUCCCGAGUACAUAGCACCCGAAGUGAUUUUGCGACAAGGCUAUGGCAAACCGGUAGACUGGUGGUCUAUGGGUAUUAUUCUCUAUGAAUUUCUUAUUGGUUGUGUGCCAUUUUUUGGCGAAACAGCUGAGGAGUUGUUUGCCCAUACGGUUAAUGAUGACAUUGAAUGGCCGGACAAUGAUGACUGGCCCGUACAACCAGAGGCUAAAGAUAUUAUAACACAAUUGUUGCAACAAAAUCCCCGUGAUCGUUUGGGCACUCAAGCCGGUGCUUUAGAAGUUAAAGAACAUUUCUAUUUUGAUGGUUUAGAUUGGAAUUCGUUGCUAAGGCAAAAAGCGGAAUUUGUGCCCCAGCUGUCUAAUGACGAUGAUACCAGUUAUUUUGAUACUCGUAUGGAUCGUUAUAAUCAUGAUUUGGCUGGUGAAGAUACAGACGAUACCGAUGACACCCCGGUUAUAGGUUCCUUUUCUUCAUACACUCCUCAAUAUCGUAAACAACACUAUUCCUGGUCCCGCGUGGCCUCCACCACCACCAUAAGCUCUUCGACUACUACUAAUACUACGGCGACUUCACAUAACACCAUAUGCACCAUAACGGCCAGCAAUUCGUCAGUGGCCGACAUGAAAUUGCAAGUUACUGAAAGUACAUCAUCGCCCACAAAUACUGUGGAUUCGGUGGCAAAGUGUCGUAAGAUAGCGGCUCCCUUGGCAUCGCCUCAAACUAUUAUCACACAACAAUUGGUGAAUAAGGUUUUGAAUACCCCGCAAUUAAGGAAAAUAGAGAUCUCCACCAGUUGUUUGAAAGUUCCUUCAACUCCGGAUGCCGACUAUUUACCCGAAUUAUUGCACAACGUUACCAUCGGCAAUGAAAACGAUAUGCGUAUUCUACAUCAAAUCCUGCAACAACCACCUGGUGCUGCUGGAUCAACCAGUCUGGCACCAUUGAAACCAGAACGCCAUCAUAGACACAGUAUGCCACCCAAUACGACAACAAUUAUCACAACACCAGCUACACCACCAGCUGCAAUGGUAAAUGCCCCCGUAGAAGUUGCCACAAAUACCUCGAAAUCAUUGGCGUCUGCUACAACCUCAGCCUCAAUUACUAACACGAACACAACAAUGACAACGACUACUACUACCGCCACCUCAAGUACAACUUCAACUGGAACCACCGAUCGUAGACUUGCCGAUAUCCAUCGUAAAUUAGCUACUUUAGCCACGGCACGCAGUACUCCCGAAUCCUCACAGACCGACAGUGAUGAUUUUUCACCACAGAUUGCACGCAAACGCAAAGGUGUUUGUGCCCGUGACAUUUUGCCCAGAUUUUCCAUAUCUAUUGAAGAUGAGACCAUUAGUGGUGGUUCAUCGUCUGCCGAAAAUACCCGGGAACAGUCACCGCUGGCUUUGCAGCAUCAAAAGUCCAUGGACAGUCAUAUAGGGGUGAAAAAUCAUCGUUCACGUUCAUCGAUUGUGAAAUCAGCCUCCGCCUUGGGCCUGUCCUUGAUGUCCUCAGCUAUUGAUAAUUCUCAAUUGGCCCAACAAUUGUGCAAUAUUACUGCUGGUAUACAAUCACCCAGUACAGUUACUAGUGGUGGUGGAGGCGGUGGUUCAAGUACUGCCUCUUCCCGUGACACUUCGCCGUGUCGUGAGUUGUCUCCAUUGGUUACCAAUCUCAAACCACCCAUUAUUAUACGAAGAGGACCUCGUGGUUUCGGCUUUACUGUGCACACCAUACGCGUCUACUAUGGCGAUACUGAUUUCUAUACCAUGCAUCAUUUGGUCAUGGCUGUGGAUGAGGGCAGUCCUGCUUUUGAGGCUGGUCUAAGGCCAGCCGAUUUAAUAACACAUGUUAAUGGUGAGACUGUUCAGGGUCUCUUCCAUACACAAGUAUUGCAAUUGCUUUUAAGUGGUGGUGAACAUGUCACAUUGAGAGCUACACCCUUGGAGCACACCAGCAUUCAAAGUGGUGGCCGCAAACGUGAUUUAAUGCAAAGUAAAUUGGCUAAAAAGGGCGUGAAUCGCCAAAAGAAACAAACGAAAAAGGAACACGACAAAAAGCGUAAAACUUCAUUAUUCAGGCGCAUUAGCAGUAAAAGAGCUUCUGCUGAGAUACAACAGAUUGCUGCAGGCAUAAGUUCGCCCACCACACCCUCAGCUAUGGCGGGUGGUGUUGCAAUUGCCAGGAAUUUGUCACCCUUGGACUCUUCUUAUCACAGCAGCAGCUGUUGUCAAUCAGCAGCCACUUCUUCGCAGUCCACAUCACCCUCUUCAUCUUCACCCAAUACCCCUACAGGUGCUGGUAAUAACAAUAAUAAUAAUAACAAUAAUAAUGGUGGUGUCUCUUCGGCUGGCAAUAAUACCGGCAUAGGUUUUGUUAGCACUUCCAAUACGGUGCUAUUGCCCAUAGCGGGUUCAGUGGCUGGUGCUGCCACUGCCGGUGCUCCGGUUGGUGUAAUGGGAGCCAUACCAGUAUCUCCCACUGCUGUACCGCAGCUUUAUCAAAGACCCUCCACUUUACAUGGUCUAAAACACAAAUUACACACCGGCUGUUCGGGCAAUACCACUGUUUGUCCCACAGGUACCGGUGUGAAAACCUUGCACACCAAUUCGGCUGCCUCUAUACCCAAUAGACGCAAAUCGGUGGGUCAUAUACCCUUGUCGCCCUUGGCUAGGACACCUUCACCCUCGCCACUACCCUCAUCACCCACACGUUCACCAUCGCCCUUGGCCUUUCCUUUGAUUGGCCAUCAGCCGGGCUCCUCGAAUACUACUCAAUCGUAUAGCCCCGGCGGAUCAUUGCCUGUUGUACAAACAGUAACGGCUGGCUCUAAAAAGGCCGGUUUUGUGCGCACAAAAUCUUCAGAACCCUCUUCACCACUACUGCGUCGUGCUCUAUCACCCGAUCGUUUACAUCCACGCAGUGCCGAGUCAAAAUGUACUCUAAUAUCGCCACUGUGCUGUUCGCCACCCAUUAAACAGCCCCAAAGAGUUAUUGGUGGAGUAUGGCGUCCGACCAGCACCACAACAACCACUUCAAAUUCUUCGACACAUGCCAUAAAUAAUCAGCCGGCUUUGCCGCCCAUAACCACACAUCCACAAUACCAGCAGCAACAGCAGCUGCAGCAGCAACAACAGCAGGCUGCUUCGUCAACAGCCUCAACCUCUCAAUGUGGUAGUCGUCUUUUAGAACAACAACAACAACAGCAGCAACACCAACAACAUCAUCAGCAACACUGUGAUCUUUCCACCAGUUCAGACGAAACUGCAUUAAUAUGUGAUACUUCUGUGAAUUCUCAAGCAGCUGCAGCUGCAACUGCAGCAAACACUUCUUCAGCAUUAGUUAGUACUCCGUCCGGUAUUGCUCUGCCAGCACCGGGUGAAAUGUUACCUCGCAUUGCCGAAGAGAAAGACUCGCCCACCAGUACUUCGGAAACAACACCCGGCUUUAUGCAGACCAUCAAUGAGCAUGAAGGUGAAAUUAACUACAAUCAACAAUUGAAGGUAGACAAAGACAAGGCUUUGGAGAAUAAAGCUAAACAACAACAGCUGCAACACGACAUGCAGCUGGAUAUGGAUGACGAAGAUGGCGGCGAUUGUGUUAAGGAAUUGAAAAGUGUUAAUGUGAUGACGAAAUCGAAAUGCAACGAAAGCACAACUCAAGAAACUGCUUCAAAAACUAUAAAUAAUAAAACCACUACGCAACAAACUAGCAGCAGCAGCAGCAAUAAAACCACAAUUGAAUUAAAAACUAGUAAAUUAACCACCACAACUGCAAACGCAACUACAACUACAACCACCAACAGCAAUACAAUAAUAACAACAACAACAACAACCACAACACCAACUCAAGGAAAAUCAUGUAAAACUAUAACAACAGGACGACGUGAACAAAGCGGAACAGCAACAGGAAAUGGUGGAGGAGCUGGCGGCAGCAGUAGUGGUGCAGCAGGAGGAGGAGGAGCUAAUAAAUUAAACAAUAACAAGCAAAAGAAAUAAAAAAAGGAAGGAUUCUACUUAAGGAAUCCUAAGUAAUUUAAAGGAAAUUGUAUAAAGUUUGAAAUAAGUUGAGCUGCCUAAAAGAGUGAGUGGUUAAGAAUUAUUAAAAAAAAAAGCAGUAAGUGGGAUAAAAAAGAAACCCCCCCCCCCUUAAUUAAGUUUUUAUUUGCAAAUUUUGUUAUGUUGCAGUUUUAUUUGAACAACAAUUUAAACUGUCCUUUCGUUCUUUAUUAUACAUAAAUUAAACACAAUACAUAUUAUAUAAUUAAUUAUUACUUUAUAUAAAAAUUAUUUUUAUUAAACAUACAAAACUACCACAAUAUAUAAAUAUUUAUACAUAUAUAUUUUGUAAAUUGUCUAAUUACAAACCAACAUACAUAUUUCUAUUUGUAGAAUCUCUUUAAAUGCAUUACAACACAAACAAAAUUCAAUUGAUAUUGUUAAAUUGCAAGAAAACAAAUGAAAAAUAUAUUAAAAAAAAAAAAAAUAAAUGUUUUUGCGUAAAUUUUGAAAAGAAAAAAAUGUAAUAAAUAAAAAAAACAAACAAACAAAAAAAUAAUAUUCAAUUUAAUAUAAAUAUUGCAGUACGAAAAAUAUAAAUAAAACGAGAAAAUAUGCCCUUAAAAUGAAAAGAAAUAAAAA